UACGGGGGGUGCAAGCGUUAAUCGGAAUUACUGGGCGUAAAGGGUGCGUAGGUGGUUAAUUAAGUUAUCUGUGAAAUACCUGGGCUUAACCUGGGCAGGUCAGAUAAUACUGAAUAACUCGAGUAUAGGAGAGGGUAGUGGAAUUUCCGGUGUAGCGGUGAAAUGCGUAGAGAUCGGAAGGAACACCGGUGGCGAAGGCGGCUACCUGGCCUAAUACUGACACUGAGGCACGAAAGCGUGGGGAGCAAACAGG
rnacentral:rRNA from 1 species